AAUAGAUACCCAGGUAGUCCACGCCGUAAACGGUGGGUACUAGGUGUGGGUUUCCUUCCUUGGGAUCCGUGCCGUAGCUAACGCAUUAAGUACCCCGCCUGGGGAGUACGGCCGCAAGGCUAAAACUCAAAGGAAUUGACGGGGGGCCCGCACAAGCGGCGGAGCAUGUGGAUUAAUUCGAUGCAACGCGAAGAACCUUACCUGGGUUUGACAUGCACAGGACGCCGGCAGAGAUGUCGGUUCCCUUGUGGCCUGUGUGCAGGUGGUGCAUGGCUGUCGUCAGCUCGUGUCGUGAGAUGUUGGGUUAAGUCCCGCAACGAGCGCAACCCUUGUCUCAUGUUGCCAGCACGUUAUGGUGGGGACUCGUGAGAGACUGCCGGGGUCAACUCGGAGGAAGGUGGGGAUGACGUCAAGUCAUCAUGCCCCUUAUGUCCAGGGCUUCACACAUGCUACAAUGGCCGGUACAAAGGGCUGCGAUGCCGUGAGGUGGAGCGAAUCCUUUCAAAGCCGGUCUCAGUUCGGAUCGGGGU
rnacentral:rRNA from 1 species